rnacentral:rRNA from 1 species
AGCUCCAAUAGCGUAUAUUAAAGUUGUUGCAGUUAAAAAGCUCGUAGUUGGAUUUGUGGCUGUCACGAGCGGCCUAUCACUUAGUGUUAGUGCUUGCCUGUGUCGCCAUCCUUGGGUGGAGCCCGUGUGGCAUUAGGUUGUCGUGCGGGGGAUGCCCAUCGUUUACUGUGAGAAAAUUAGAGUGUUCAAAGCAGGCUUAUGCCGUUGAAUAUGUUAGCAUGGAAUAAUAAGAUAGGACCUCGGUACUAUUUUGUUGGUUUGCGCACCGAGGUAAUGAUUAAUAGGGACAGUUGGGGGUAUUCGUAUUCCAUUGUCAGAGGUGAAAUUCUUGGAUUUCUGGAAGACGAACUACUGCGAAAGCAUUUACCAAGGAUGUUUUCAUUAAUCAAGAACGAAAGUA